UCUCUCACCUAAGUCUCUGGUGAGAAAGAAACCUUCCUCUGAAUUCACAAUAAUGACCCUUAAUCUUUUACAGAUUUGGAAUCAUCUGAGAGACUGACACAAAAAUGCUAUUACCCCUGUAUGCACACAAGUUGAACCUAACGGCAUUAAAAGAAAAGGACAAGCUGUGAAACGCCUAGAUUCCAGAGCAACAGACUGUGAUCCAUUCCCAACAACCCCUCCCUACCGUCUGCCACCAGUUCCCUUAAAGCAGGAAUCAGAGCUAGACUGACUCAACUAAGGUAAGAAGUGAGGCUUCAUGUGAAAAAGACUACAGCUACAAAACAAAUUCUCAAAUAUAUGUAACGUGCUAAGAUUUUGAACUUGACCCAGAAGUUUGUGGUGUACACACAAAUAGAAAUAACAUGCACACAGUCAUAUAGCUAUGUUUAAAAUUCUUUUUAGUGCUUUCCAAUUAAAAGCAUAAAUUAG
rnacentral:lncRNA from 1 species